rnacentral:lncRNA from 1 species
CACUUACUUGGCAUUGAGCUAAGAUGAAUAAAUAAAUGUUUUAAGAAGUUGAAAUGAAAUGAAGGGUGAUGAUGAAUGCAUCAUGGUGGUGACCACAUGCACUCUUCUUUUUGUGUGUUGUUGUUUUAGCCUUAAUGCUUUAAUUAUGAUGGUAGUGGGUCUUUCGAGUUAUUUAAUCAAAAUGUUGUUUCUUUUGUUGAUUUUGGGUUGUAGUGGGGUUGAUGGCAUGGAUGUAUGAUAUGAUGGACUGGUGUAUGGGUAUCAAGUAGUAUGAUGAUCUAAUGAUAAGUGAAUGGUGGAAUCGUA